UGAUCAGCCACACUGGGACUGACACACGGUCCAGACUCCUACGGGAGGCAGCAGUGAGGAAUUUUGCGCAAUGGGGGAAACCCUGACGCAGCAACGCCGCGUGAGUGAUGAAGGCUUUCGGGUCGUAAAACUCCGUCAAGUGGGAAGAAUUAGCCUGAUGCUAAUAUCAUUAGGCAGUGACGGUACCACUGAAGGAAGCACCGGCUAACUCCGUGCCAGCAGCCGCGGUAAUACGGGGGUGCAAGCGUUAUUCGGAAUCAUUGGGCGUAAAGAGCGCGUAGGCGGCCUUUUAAGUCAGAUGUGAAAGCCCGGGGCUUAACCCCGGAAGUGCAUUUGAAACUAUUGGGCUUGAGUAUGGGAGAGGGAAGUGGAAUUCCUGGUGUAGAGGUGAAAUUCGUAGAUAUCAGGAGGAACACCGGUGGCGAAGGCGGCUUCCUGGACCAAUACUGACGCUGAGGCGCGAAGGCGUGGGUAGCAAACAGGAUUAGAUACCCUGGUAGUCCACGCAGUAAACGUUGUUCACUGGGUGUAGCGGGUAUUGACCCCUGCUGUGCCGCAGUUAACGCAUUAAGUGAACCGCCUGGGGAGUACGGCCGCAAGGUUAAAACUCAAAGGAAUUGACGGGGG
rnacentral:rRNA from 1 species